ensembl:lncRNA
UGAAAAUCCGUAUUUUUAAAUAUUUAUAGCAUUGUAAGUUAUAAUCCCUUCUGUCUCUUACGUUACAACUUGGAGACGCACGUUUGCCAUAUGUCUCUCUACAUCUAGAUGUCACAAAACAUAUGCCCACACAGCAUGGAGGCCAGCCGUUCUGUAGGAUGAUCCCUUCUCUCUAUCUGUUUAGUGCUGGGUUCCAUGAUGCUGGUACGUGAGAUGCAGGGUGAUGUCAGUACUGGAGAUGCAGAGUGACAUCGGCAUUGGAGAUGAAUGGUCUCUUUGCUCUGAGUUCCAGGUUAGUAUCCCCUCGGCUAGAAAUGCAGCUACGAGUGUCACUGACCUGCCUCCGGGGGCUCACCUCAACUGCAGAGCUUCAGGGCAAGACUGUUUCCUACGGGAUACGCUACGGAAUUUUAAGGAGAAAAUCCCAGAAGAUGAAAUCCCAGCAAGACAAACAUCUCGGCAAACAUAACCUUGAGCUCCGUGCAGGUUGGCAGGGUCAAGGGGGAGGAAUUAAGAUCUCACUUCAACUCACUGAUGAUUACUGAGCCACGAGCUGCGUUCCCAUCCGCGGUACCGCAGCACAUAUGGUGAGCCUGGACACACGCUGCUCCGGCCCCGUGUCAUCCGGCAGCACAAGGGCACACGUCACGCAGCAAAUAUCAGCUCUGAUCUCCUGCUCCAGGGCUUUUUGUCCAGAGAGUUUUUCAAUGUGGGAAGGGUUUCUUCAAAGCUGUGUCUUGAGUGAGGUGAAAAUCAAAUUAACUCUAGGAGGGGACGAACUGAUUGUUGCAAAAACAGCAAAAGGCCUUAGGUUUUUAGGUGAUUUUGGGGCUGUGGGAUGCUGGGGCUGGCAGGAGGGCUCUUGUGUGCUGCUGGGCUGCAGAAGCACCUCCUGGGUUGGGGGAAGUGAUAAACACCCCACUGCCCCCAGUCUGACCAAUGAAUCAGCAUGAUGCCUUCGAACCUAUGUCUGUGGGACCACUGUCUGCCAUGAAAUCAGAUGCAUUCUGGAAUUAAUGCCCUCACCCCUGACAGCGUUGCAGAUGUCCUACUCUAGGGGAUGUUCAGCCCAAACCAGGGCUGGGGGACAGCACCGUGCUGUAGCUGCUGCCAACAUGCAGAUUUCUUCAUUGAUAUAUUCAGUUUCCUCCUCCACAGAAUCACAGGAUCAUAGAAUAUCCCAGUUUGGAAGGGACACAUAAGGAUCAUCGAG